UAAUACAGAGGGUGCGAGCGUUAAUCGGAAUUACUGGGCGUAAAGCGCACGUAGGCGGCUUGGUAUGUCGGGUGUGAAAUCCCCGGGCUCAACCUGGGAACUGCAUCCGAAACUGCCUUGCUCGAGUAUGGGAGAGGGAAGUGGAAUUUCCGGUGUAGCGGUGAAAUGCGUAGAUAUCGGAAGGAACAUCAGUGGCGAAGGCGACUUCCUGGACCAAUACUGACGCUCAGGUGCGAAAGCGUGGGGAGCAAACAGGAUUAGAUACCCUGGUAGUCCACGCCCUAAACGAUGAGAACUGGAUGUCGGGAGGGUCUGCCUUCCGGUGUCGUAGCUAACGCGUUAAGUUCUCCGCCUGGGAAGUACGGCCGCAAGGUUG
rnacentral:rRNA from 1 species